rnacentral:rRNA from 1 species
UGUGUAGGCGGUUCGUUUAACGUUUGGUGUGAAAUCUCCCGGCUCAACUGGGAGGGUGCGCCGAAUACUGAAUGACUUGGAGUGCGGGAGAGGAAAGUGGAAUUCCUGGUGUAGCGGUGAAAUGCGUAGAUAUCAGGAGGAACACCGGUGGUGUAGACGGCUUUCUGGACCGUAACUGACGCUGAGACACGAAAGCGUGGGUAGCAAACAGGAUUAGAUACCCUGGUAGUCCACGCCCUAAACGAUGCAUAUUUGGUGUGGGUCAUUCAGUUGAUCCGUGCCGGAGCUAACGCGUUAAAUAUGCCGCCUGGGGAGUACAGUCGCAAGGCUGAA